CGGGGCGUGGCGCAGAUGGCAAGCGCACCAGCUUGGGGUGCUGGGGGUCGCUGGUUCAAAUCCAGUCGCCCCGA
rnacentral:tRNA from 1 species